UUACAAUUAUCGUUAAUGAGAUGUAUUUUUGUUUUUGUUUCCAAUUGUAGUUUGAAUUGUGUUGCAAAAAAAAAGACGCAAAAGUUGACAGCACUGAGCGCACCAAGACGUAGAGAAAGACAAAGAGAGCGGGUGACUUAAGUGAGAGCUUAAGGAAAGCUCAGCAAAUUGUCGUUAAGUCGCAAUUAAAGUCAAGCUCCGGUCAGCGAGGCAAUUAAAACGAAAUGCAGCAACAAAAUACAAAAUUUGCACGUCGGCAAACACGAAUAAUGUGAUUGGCAAAAGAGCGCGCGCAAGAUAAAGCGUCAACAUCAGCAGCAGCCAAAGCAGCAGCUGCAUACGUCACAAGGGCAGAGACAAGAAUCGAAUCUGAUGUGACGCGUCAUCAGCUGAGUGUGUCAAUGCAUGAGAGCGAGCGAGAGCUCUGCAGUGUAACUGUGAUAAGCCUCAUACAUUGAAACAAACUUACAUAUAGAACACAACAUAUCACAGGUUGAAUGAACUGCGAACGUUGAUUGUUUUUAAUAGAGAUGCUGUCAAAAAUUUGCUUAUUAAAAGAACC